rnacentral:rRNA from 1 species
CAUUAUUGAAUAAACUUGGUUGAGUUGUUGCUGAUCCUUCGGGGUAUGUGCACGCUCACUCCAUUUUUAACCACCUGUGCACCUUGUGUAGAUCUGAAUACUUGAGAGUGACCAAUAUCGUUGCUCUUGUAUUUAGGUCUAUGUUUUUAUAUACUCCAAAAAUGUAUUAGAAUGAUGUGACUAGGCCUUCGUGCCUUUACAAAUUAAAACAACUUUCAACAACGGAUCUCUUGGCUCUCGCAUCGAUGAAGAACGCAGCGAAAUGCGAUAAGUAAUGUGAAUUGCAGAAUUCAGUGAAUCAUCGAAUCUUUGAACGCACCUUGCGCUCCUUGGUAUUCCGAGGAGCAUGCCUGUUUGAGUGUCAUGAAUUUCUCAACCUAUCUAGCUUGUAUAAAGAUAGAUAGGCUUGGAUUUGGAGGUUGCUGGCUUCUCAGAAACCGGCUCCUCUCAAAUGUAUUAGCAGAACCAUUGCUGAUUAUUCUCGGUAUGAUAAUUAUCUAUACCAACGAAGAAUCGGUUUCCUUAAUUGGAGGGGUUUAGCUUUCUAACAAAGUCUGAAAAGACAAUUCUUGACAAUUUUGACCUCAAAUCAGGUAGGACUACCCGCUGAACUUAAG